rnacentral:rRNA from 1 species
AUUGAACGCUAGCGGGAUGCUUUACACAUGCAAGUCGAACGAGUGGCGGACGGGUGAGUAAUAUAUCUGAACGUGCCCAGUAUCGGGGGAUAAUUACUCGAAAGAGUGGCUAAUACUGCAUAAUAUUGGACCGGCCGAUAUUGGAUGAGCUAGUUGGUGGGGUAAAGGAUCACCAAGGCAACGAUCCGUAGCUGGUUGGAGCGGACGAUCAGGCACCCUGGGACGGAGACACGGCCCAGACUCAAACGGGAGGCAGGGGUGGAGAAGUUAAGACAAGUGGGGAAACGCUGGUCCAGCCAACCCGAGUGUAGGAGGAGGCAAUGGGGUUUUAAAGUACUAUUGGCAGAAAAGCGGUAUCUGAAGAAUAAGGACCGGCUAACUACGUGCCAGCAGCCGCGGUAAUUC